rnacentral:rRNA from 1 species
CACUUUGUCUUUUUGACAAAUGUGAGAUGCAGUGUACGGAAUGUCAAAUUUCUAGUAUGAGAAAUUAACGAUUUAAGUCCUUCUUAAAUGAGGCCAUUUACCCAUAGAGGGUGCCAGGCCCGUAUAACGUUAAUGAUUACUAGAUGGCAUUUCCAAAGAGUCGUGUUGCUUGAUAGUGCAGCACUAAGUGGGUGGUAAACUCCAUCUAAAACUAAAUAUAACCAUGAGACCGAUAGUAAACAAGUACCGUGAGGGAAAGUUGAAAAGAACUCUGAAUAGAGAGUUAAAUAGUACGUGAAACUGCUUAGAGGUUAAGCCCGAUGAACCUGAAUAUCCAGUAUAGAAAAUUCAUCAUUAUGAUUUUAAUAUUAAUAUAAUAUUAUAAGAAUAGUGUGCAUUUUUUCUAUAGAGGACAUUGUAAUCUAUUGACAUUAAUUAAAUUUAUCAUAAGAUCAAUUGCGCUAGUUUAUUCAAAUUAUUUUGCUUGCAAUUUAACAAAGAAUAAAUGCUUUUGAUAUGAUAAAGUGUCGAUAGAUUUAUUGUAUAUAGUGCUUGAAUAUUUUUUAUAUUCUACAAUAGCAUAUUAAUUAUUAAUUUUUAUGUUUAUUUUAUGCAUUUAUAUGAUUAACAAUGCGAAAGAUUCAGGAUACCUUCGGGACCCGUCUUGAAACACGGACCAAGGAGUCUAACAUAUUUGCAAGUUAUUGGAAAUGAAAAUCUAAUAGCGAAAUUAACAUAACUUAAAAUUAAAUUGGGAUUAAUUUUUAGCCUAUUUAUAGUCUACUAAUUCAAUCCCGGGGCGUUCUAUAUAGUUAUGUAUAAUAAUAUUUAUAUUAUUUAUACCUCUAACUGGAACGUACCUUGAGCAUAUAUGCUAUGACCCGAAAGAUGGUGAACUAUACUUGAUCAGGUUGAAGUCAGGGGAAACCCUGAUGGAAGACCGAAACAGUUCUGACGUGCAAAUCGAUUGUCAGAAUUGCAGG